rnacentral:rRNA from 1 species
UACGUAGGGUGCGAGCGUUAAUCGGAAUUACUGGGCGUAAAGCGUGCGCAGGCGGUUUUGUAAGUCUGAUGUGAAAUCCCCGGGCUCAACCUGGGAAUUGCAUUGGAGACUGCAAGGCUAGAAUCUGGCAGAGGGGGGUAGAAUUCCACGUGUAGCAGUGAAAUGCGUAGAGAUGUGGAGGAACACCGAUGGCGAAGGCAGCCCCCUGGGAUGUGACUGACGCUCAUGUACGAAAGCGUGGGGAGCAAACAGG